rnacentral:rRNA from 1 species
UACGUAGGUGGCAAGCGUUGUCCGGAUUUAUUGGGCGUAAAGCGCCCUCAGGCGGCUUGAUAAGUUUCAGGUGAAAUCUCCCGGCUCAACCGGGAGGGUGCCUGGAAAACUAUCAGGCUUGAGUCAUGGAGAGGGAUGUGGAAUUCCCGGUGUAGUGGUGAAAUGCGUAGAUAUCGGGAGGAACACCAGUGGCGAAGGCGGCAUCCUGGCCAUGUAUUGACGCUCAGGGGCGAAAGCGUGGGGAGCAAACCGG